rfam:Branchiostoma floridae genomic scaffold BRAFLscaffold_247, whole genome shotgun sequence.
GUUUACCUGUGAGUGGAUGGUGUUCAGCACCAGGGACAGGUUUGUUUACCUGUGUGUGGAUGGUGUUCAGCACCAGGGACAGGUUUGUUUACCU